rnacentral:lncRNA from 1 species
CCUCAAGGAAGGCACGACAGCACUCUUGCCUCACCUGUCCAUCUCUAACUCUGGGACACAGGAGCUUCGCCAGACCUAAGCGGACCUCUCCCCACUCCCCAGAAACUGGCUUCUGAGGGGGAGAGGAUGGUGCCCUGCCCCCAUCAGACCAUCUCUCCCCAUCAAUCAGAGAGGACUAGUGCUGAUGGACGCACAGCCAGACUUAGCAGGUCAUAGGUACAGGUGUACCGCUUCCUGGGAAAGGUGUUCUAGACAUGAGCACCCCAGCCACCUUCUCCCUCCCCACCCCAAAGUUCUAAUCAUCACUUCCAUUUUCUCCUCAGAGGGGCUGCUUUGGUGAAUGGAAAACCCUUUACUCUGUUGGGCACCCUUAAGGGUUCGGACAUGCAAGCUCAGACCUACAGAGAAGGACAUUCAUCUGUUAAUGGGAUGGGAGUGGGGGAAGAAGCAGGGAUGCGGCACGGGGGAGAGGCACUGGUGAUGUUUCCGAAGACUGUAUGUGGCUCAGUGUGAACCCCUCGUUGAAGCAGCCAAGUCUACAGAAGAGAGCAAGAAAUGUCUGGUGGGACUGGCUUGUCUGGGGAAAAUGGCUGUGAUUCACAUUGGUUAACAUGGGUGGCAUGAAUUCAAAGAGCAGUCUGAGGCCAGGGCACAGUGAGCAGGCCCUUUCCAGAAACUGGUGGCAAGACACAGCUGAGCUUGGACUUCUGUAGAUCUGUGGCCUGGAGCACUGCUGAUGUGAUAAUGUGACCCCACGAGCUGCAGAUGACACGUGGGCCCCCUCCCAGGAUGGGCAGGAUGGGCGCAUCCAGAAGACACCCCCGGCACGGCAGCCUCGCUGGUGACAGGCCUGUCUUAACAGAGCUCCGUCACUUACAUGUUUUGAGAAGUGCUAAAUUGCAAUCAUGCAAAUAUGUUAUACGUCCCAUUUCUUAAUCCGCGUAAUGGAAAGAAAUGCAAAUGAAUGCUCCCGGCAGAUACUGUGAGUGGAUCACGUCUUUUCUCAAUCGCCACAGUCCUCUGCAGAUAGACAUCGAGACCCCAGGAAUGUCAUUACCUCAGGUCCCAACAUUCUCGCUAUACUAACUUGUACCGCAACUUGCUCAGCUGACCUCUGGGCAGCCAGGGCAAUGCGCCACCUGCCGCCUCUGACCGGCUCACAGCCCAGCCCCGCUUUCCUCCCCUGAUGAAAGCCUGCCCGUGCUGACACUGAGCUCUGGUUUGUCCUGCAACUUGCCCUACCCCGCAGAUACAAACCUGACAGAGGGCUCUGCCCAGCCCAAAAAGGCUAGCGAUAAAAGCUAAAGAAACUGGAUGCACCCCGGGCGGCUGGCAAAUACAGUCCUGGAGGGAGCCCCCCUUGUUCAGGGACAAGUAACCAUGGGGGAUAGGAGGAGUUUUGUAGCACAGGAGAGGGAACUCCUACUAUGAUGACUUAGAAGAGUGACAGAUUCCUAAACGGGUCCUCAUGCAGGAAAAUAUUCCUGAGAAUGGGACAUCUACAUGGGCAGGGCUAUGUUUGGUCUGUUUUGUAGGCUGGUAUGUCCCCAGCACCGAAAAGAAGACUUGGCACACAGUAGGUGCUCAGUAAAUAUUUGUGAAAUGAAUGAAUGAAUGAAUCGAUCAAGAUUGGUUCCUUACAAACCUGUGGAAUUAUGAAGUUGAAGAGGGUCCAGGCCAGCCGAGCUGCCCAAGGAGGUCACUGGAGAGGCCGGCUACCUCACUGAGCAAAGGCCUGCUUCUCCCAACAGCCUGUGGGAGGACCAGAGGAGGCACAAGGCCCUCCCUCAGCCUUUGCAAAUGCGGAAGCCUGGGUUUCCCUGGUAUCCAAAACUGACAAAGUGUAAGCCCAAGGUAAUCACUAGAAAAAAGAGAAAGACUUCUGUCGUAGGGGCCAUGAGCAUGGCCUGGUGGCAUAUCUUCUUGGGUCUGCUCCCUCCUCUCUGCUCCUCCGAAGUCUGGAGGUCCCUCAGCAUUCCUCACUCCUCCUUGGCUUACAUGAGGGCUGGGAAGUGUGAAAUCAGGACAAGGCACAUUAACAGGGGCACUUGGGCGAGACUCACAUUAUCAUUUGCGGCUUCUUGGAGUGCAAGCUGGUGCGAAUUCUCUAGAAAAGACAAAAGCAAUGAUUAUAUACACCAAGAACCUUUGCCCCCAUGAUCCCAUUUUCAGGAAUCUAUCCUUAGAAAUGAUAUGAGAAGGCAAUCAUAAGACAUCUGUAAAAGGAUGUUUUUCAAAGCAUUAAUGAUAGCAAUGAAAACUGGGAAGCCACGUAAACGUCCCAGAAUAGGAGAAUGGUUAGAUAAAGAAACGUACGUCCCUCAGGAAAUCCCUCCAUGCCCUCAGCAACACUGUAGAACCAAGAGAUGGCAGGAAACUCAAAUUCAAACAACCCAGCCCUACAAAGGAUUCUGUAAAUUGGCAGGAAGAGGAGGGGGUUUGUAGAGAUGACUUAACAUUGCAAAGAGACAGCAUCUCAUUCAAAACAGAAAAAUUCGUGUACUCAGCUGUUGUCCCAGUGUCUCCCUGAGCUCGUCUCCAGCCUCCUGAGCACCCUGCUGUCCUCUAGACCCACUGGAUUGAGCAUCCCCCAUUGCUUCUCCCUUCCUCCUUAUUAGAUAUUUAUAAAAAGAGAGACCUAAAUCCAAUGUGUCCCAUGCCAAAUAAGGGGUCAUUGGCACAGGUACCUAUGAGACAUGGCAGAAAGAGGCCACAGGUCAGAAGGCACAAGCUGACCAAGGCUGACCCCAAUAACAUAAAUGGAUAUAUACAUAAAUAUAUGAAAAGAGAAUUGGAGGGAAUUUGCAGAAAUAUAAAUGUAAUUGGAUUUCCAUUUGGGCCUAUUUUUCUAUAACAAUGCCUAAGUUCAGGGGAAAAAAAACAGAAUACACUCCCUAAAGGCUUAGGUGGGAGUCCCCCAGAAAUACGUCGGCUCUUUAUAUCUGCAGGCAAUUUGGUCUCUCCUCUCUGAUCCUCUGAGGUCUGCAGGCCCCUCCAGCACUUGCAACUCCACCUGUCUCCUGAGCGAUCCCUGCCGCCAAAGCCCCUUAGAGAAACACAAACUUGGCAGCUAGUGAAUAAAGAUGCCAGUUCUGGAGGCUCCCUUGGGUGGUCCAGAUGCUGGACCCUCCAAAUCCUCUUGGGCAGGUGGGCAGGCCUCUGACUUGAGACUGUAUCUCUGAACUCUUCCAGCCUCUUCCCCCACCCCAGGGCCCAGCCAACCUCCCUCUGCUCUUUCCCCUAUGCUCUGCUGGACUCCAUUUUCCCACAGUGGGCAUCUCUGAAGCUGGCGAGAAGCCCCAGGCAAGGAGGCACCAAGAGAAGUAACUAAGACUUCCGCUUCUGGAAAUGGCCUACUAGGCCAAACAGUUGUUUUUUUUUUAAGGGUGGUAUAUCAUAAGACAAACAAUCUUCUUAAAGGCAUAUAACAAGAUAGUGAGAAAUUGCUGGGCAAAGUCGUAGAGAACCCAGAACAGUAAACCCAGCUCCCAAAGUUGCUUUUGCCUUGAGGGCACUGGUGGAUCCAGAUAAAUCUGCUUAGAAACUGAGCCGUGCUUCCAAUGGGCUUGUAGACGAAAGACACAGCCCAGCACCCACGGAAGUUGGGGGUCCUGAUGAGGCCUCCCCCACCUCCUUUAUUAACCCCGAAGGGUUAUACUCUCAGAGCAAAGGUGAUUUCGAAUUAAGCCAACCCUCCGAGGACUUGCAGUUCAGCUUCGUGUCAUCGGGUUGACUCAGGGGACCUCAAGCUGUGAACUUGGAUUAUGGUGGCCCCAGUCUGGUGCUGCCAGCAGGCAUUUGUCUGAAGCAGAGAAAAGUCUUCUCCAGAAGAUGAUAACAUCAUCCUAGGCCUCAAAUCGUUCCUACAAAGAAAUAACCAUCCUCUAAGUCCUGCCUCACCAGGAACUCCUGGCAGGUAGCUCCCCAGAAGGAAUCAUGGAAGUCACCUUUCAAGGAUGCUGAAAUGGCUGACCCCUGGGCAGAAACAAACCUGACCCCUCCCCACACUGCCACGAGCCCUCAGUGUGCCCUUUUCUGGGAUGAACCUGGACCCAGAUGCAGAUUGUCCUUGAAAUCAGCUGUGUCCAUGCUGGAGGUCUCUUCUAGCUGAAAUAAAAAAUGCAAGUUAGAACCAUUAAACUCAUCGCCCUCUUCUCCCCCACUUUUCUUUGCACGGAGCCAUGAAGAUCUCUUAGGAAUCAGGUAGCCAUGCCCCAAAGAGGGGGUCUGACACUGGGAAAUCAGUGCCAGGCUCUUUGACAGCAAAUUAGCCCCCAUGAUGGACUCACGCACAUGCCACCUGCUGGCCAUUUCUCCCGAGCUUCACUCAUGGUCCUCCUUCAUCCUUCCCUCAUUCCCCUCAAGUCUCUUCCUGUCCCUUCAAGCAGGGGGGCUGCCCACUGCCUGACUUGUGGUCGACACCGGUCAGGAGGCCACCACUCCGUCACCCCUUAGAGCUCUGAGCACAAUGCCAGGAUUUUUCCUUGCUUGCUCUCUGGCUUGUGCUUGUGAUAAAUUCCACGGAAACCGAAGCCAAGUCUGCUUUGUCCGCUAGGGUGUUCCCAGUUCCUAGAACAGUGCCUGGCACAGAGUAGGACUCAGCCACUUUGUGUCCUGAGUGAAUGAAGGAAAUCACAGCAUUUCCUAUGAAGCCCAGAGACUCAGGACAGCCAGCUCAGGGCUUCACCCCUGCUUUUGCUGCAUAGAUGGAUUUUCUCUUCCUUUGGGAAUACUGGGAGACCCUCUCCUUAUCUUGCUUCAUUUUCCUCUUCUUUUGUCUUCUCCUUUUCUACAAGACUUUUGAGGUGUCUGGAUCAACAGGUGCUUUUAUAGUAAGUGCUGGUUGACUCUCUUUUCUGUUCUAAAAAUGGUCCCAAAUUCACCUACUGGCAGGUCCUCAAACUACCGUCAUUGUCACUACCAAAAGUGAACACUGCCCCUCUGCCCAAGUACAAGACCCGCCACAAAAUGACUCAGCACAAAAAGGAUCAGGAGUCCAUGCCUGGCCGGAAGCAGGGCCAGCGAGGGCUCUGAUCACGUUACAGACACAUAAGUCUGAAAUGUGCACCUUCUGAGAGAAAGAAUGCUCUCUGCUGGGGUGGAUGGGAGAGAGCGUGAUCUGUGCUCAUGGCAGAAGUGAGGUCCCAAGAGCCUGAGGUGGCCCAUUCCCAGGCUCAGAGGAGAGGAUGAAGUAACUGCCCACAAGAAGCAGGGAGACUGGGAUGUUUUGGUUGGGGGAAAGGAUGAGAGGGGCGAGCAGAGUGAGGCAACAGAGGGCUGGCAAAACGAGUGGAAUCAGCAAGAGGCUGGACGCUGACCUGCGGCCCGGGGAACGUUCCAGUGGCAAGUGGGCAGAAAGAAUAUGUAAAAGCAGGAAUGUCUAAGGCAUGCUGGGGAAAGGGAGGGCACCUGUUAGCCAUCCCCAGAACAUCCCCAGCUCCUGCAGAAAGUCAAAACACUGCCCCCGAAUAUUUUAUGUGAUUCAGUUUUGAUUGCGUCUUAUACCCAGAGUGAUCCAGUAAACCGAGAGAGCAGAUGUACAGAAGGCAGAAACCAGGAGGCCAAGAUGACCCCACGGUCACAAGCCCCGGGCUUCCAAAGCAAGCAGACAAAGUGGGAAGGCAUCAGAGCGCCCGAGACCUGGGAUCUCAACGGGGCUGGCAGCCUCAGAGAACAGACACCUCUGGAGAUCAUCACCACGGCCCCAGUGGGUGACGUCACCACACAAAAGUGGAGCUUGAACUGCAUCUUGACUGGAAAGGGAAGGGUGUGUGGCCAACCUGCACCAGUGCUUGGCUAGUUUCCAAAUACUUCGCUGUAUUCAUCCCCUCCAUGGCUGUCGUUCCGCUGGAUAGAGAGUGACUAUUUGGCCCAAAACCCUAUAUGCCAUAUCCCGUCUUUCUCUAAUCCCAAAGAGGACUCUGGCACCACAAAUCCUAGAGUCUUGCAACACCUUUUUUUGUUUUAACUUUCCCACCAUCCUCCCGAGCUCUGAUCUGGAGAUGCUGCACUGAUUACUGGCAAUCCCGUUUUCCCUGGGACGUGCCCCUGGCACACUUGGAGGAUGUGAGCUGGCACGCCACGGCAAGACUUCCUCUCCAAUCCGGCCUGCAGUACAGGUGCGCCCUCCAGGAGACGCCUGGUUUUCCUCAAGGGCUGGACCCUCUCUUUCUGAAUCAGAGUUUUUUCCACUUGUAGCUUGCUGAGAAGGGAAGGAAACUCUGUCGUGCUUUUUGAAAUCUCAGGACCAUCUUCCUGGCAACCACCACCCUAGAAACCCCGUUCCUCCAGACAGAGUGGCUUUCCUGAGCAUGGGGAGGAAACUCACCCACCCAAGUCCCCGCUCUCCUCCAGGGCACGAGUGAUAUCCUCAUCCUGGCCUUCUGGCCUCCAGUAUCUGGGAUGGUCUGUGGAAUAGGCAUGUGAGACUGCCCAGCCGGGACAUCCAUGUCUGCUUGCUGUGAUUUUAAUGGGGGGGGGGGGGGGGGGGGAGCAUCACGGUAUCUGAGGGCUGUUGCAGAAGCGGGGAUGGGUCAGGGGUGAUCGCGGGGCUGUGGCCUAAACCUCCAGGGCCAGAGUUCAGUCAGCCAAGGUGGGCUGAUGAAGCAGGGUGUAGGAAAAAAGCAACCUAGAACCUUGCUCUUCACGAUGCAGUUCCCUGGACCAGUGGUGCUCCUCUCCUGGGAGCUUGUUGGAAAUGCAGAGUCUUAGGCCACAGGUCUAACGAAUCUCAUCUAGGCUCCCGCAGUGAGUUCUCAUGCAUCUUCCACACACUGUGUGGCCUUGGCCUGAGGGGUCCCCGACUGGGCCUCCUGUGAGGCCGGCUGAGCUAGCUGUUGUCAUUCCAGGGCCCGGCUGCUACCUCCUCCCUCUGGGGCCCCUAGCACCCCUCACAGAAUGCCCAGACCUGGCACCUCCUGCCCCAGAGUGAGACACAUGUGGCGGAACCCAAGCAGCAGAAGCCACAGUGAUGAGUUGGGGCCACCUCUCUCCACUGUGCUUCCUGGUCCCCCCUGGUGAAAUUCAAGGCUUUCAGACUCCUGGGUCCUUGGUCACUGAACUCACUGCUUUGGGGAAACACCUUACAGAGAACUCCUUUGCUGGCACCACAUUAUGAAUCUGGGGUUUUUCUAUGGGUGGGUCCAAAUCCAUUCUCUGCCCCGAAUGCAGUGGCCACAUCCUUCCCAGUGUGGAUGUGGGUGAGGUGUGCCCAUCUAGACUCAUCCAGCCACAUCCUCCCCUGAGCGGGGUAGGAAAGCCAUGAGGCACAGGUGUAGAAGGAAGAACUGGAGGAAGAGGAAGCCAGCAGCCUGCAGCUGAGUCUUGCUUAGAGUUCGGGGUAGAGAUGUCCAACUUCAAAAGGAAUUACUCUCCUGUGGAGGAAACAGUUGGAAUUCCCAGAAACUCUGUGAGCCAGAGUUCCCUCAAGUAUAGAAUAAGGAUGCUGGACUCCGUGAUCCCCAAAUGCCCAUCCAGCCAGAAUACCCACAUUAUAAGUCCCUGCUGUCAAUCCUCAGGUACAGACUUGUGUUGGACCUUUCCAGGCCUUAGGACCUAGUCCUAAAGAUAAGUAGAGAUAAGAUGCAAAAGCUUUAAACAUAAGACUCUGAUAUAGAACUUACUAUACAACAGAGAUGGUGUUUCAAUUCAGUGGUGUGGGGACAGGUGGAUAGACAUCUGAGAACAAACAAAAUUGAAUCCCAGCCUCACAGGACAGCUGCUUAGGGACAGGGCUCAAAGAGACCCGUGGUUCUGAACCCUUUCCACACAUCAGGACCUCCGGGGGCUCUUAGCGCCACGAUGCCUGCGGGGGUUGGGUGAAAGCUAGUGGGGCUUUGAUGGGUCUGUCAUAGGCGAGGAGCUUCAUUUCACUUUGCCCACUCAGCCCUCCCUGCACAGGCUCCCCAUGGGCUGUGGGAUCCACUCAGUGACACGUGGACAAUCACUGUGCUGCUCCACCCCGGGAGGGAGAGCUGAGGGUCAGAACGGCACCCAGCCUGGUCGCGAUGGUUGCGCCUGGCAGCAAGCAGAAGCUCCCCGGUGGCGCACAGAUUAUGAUGGAUCAUGGUGAGCUGAGCUCUGCGCUCAGGCAGCCUUCAUCCCGCUCCAGGUUGCAAGCUGAAAUAUUGAAAGGGGUGCAAAGGGGAGGGAGGAGGAGGAGGAGGAAAGGAAAUUAAUGGUUAUCAGAGCUCUUCUUGGGGGCCAGUUCAGACCCCAGGGGCCUCACCCCUGUACUUUGCCAUGGGGCCUCUUGCGUCCAUAGCUUUUGCCAAUAUAGGUCAGACACAGGGUCACACAGUGGUGCAAUCCUACAAAAUACAAUUCUAAAGCUGCCUUUAAAAAUUGUUUUAAAUAUUAUGGAUACGAGGAAAUGCUUACAAUAUUAACUGAAAAAAUCAGGUUAUAUGAUGCAAUUUUGUAGAGAAAAACAUGGAAAGGCACCCACACAGAAGUCCAGAGAUCACUUGCCCUCCAAGCAGAGCUGGCCCCUCCCUUGUCAGGGCUUCUGAGGCCCUCACAUCCCAGUACAGCCCCUCAUCCUCUGAUGUCCCUGGAGGUCACGUGUCUGGUCCUCCGCCAGACUCAGCUUCUUGAGCCUUCCAAUUAACACAGCACUGGCACAGGUGGGCAUUUGAUAAGUGUUUGCAAAUGAGAAGUGGAUAAAUGAUGGAAAGAAGGAAGGAAGGAGGGAAGAAAGGAAGGAAGGGGUGAGUUCAGAGGGAAAUACACCAAAAUGUUAAGGGUUAUUAUCAUCUGGAUAAUUUAUUUUAUCUUUAUAAUUAUCUGUCUUCCAAAAUUACAUGAAUGAAUCACUUUUAUAAUAAAUCCACUUCUUAUCAAAAUUCUGCUAUUUAAAUCAAUCUGAACUGUUUUCUCAUAACUUCAAGUCCUGUUUUUAACUAG